UUGUAUUUGAGAAUAGAUGAUGUAUAGGUGUGAGGUUAUUUGGAGGAUGUAAAAACAUGUUGUAUUUAUGUUUAUGUUUUGGAAGUAAAUCGAUGUAUUAAAGAGAUCGAAUGAAUGUAAUAGAUAGAACUUUCUCUCUUUAUUUACUAGUAUGCUUCAUACUUGUAUCUUGCUCUUAUUGGUCAGUACUAGCGGUGCUCCUUGUGAUCGUGUUUUUGUGAAUUGAUUCCUGGGUAAAUUCUUAUACAUGAUUAGGUUGCUUGGACUUGGG
rnacentral:lncRNA from 1 species